CCCCUCUGUUUAGCUCACACACUUUCUCUCUCUAAAAUUUAAAAAAAAAGAAAAUUUUAAUUGAAAUACUUUCCAAUAUAAUUGCAGGUUUGACUACAAGCUAUCUUAUUAAUUUCUCUUUUCAUUUAAGAAUUUUACCUGCAUUACAAAAUAAAUGAUCUAUAUUCUUUGGAGUCAAACAAUUUGAAAAUAAGUCUAUCAAAUAUAACAUGAAGCAUAGCAAUAGGAUAUUUAUUUUAUAAAAAAUACUUUAACUGCUAUGCUGUCUAUUAUUAGGGAAAAAAGGGACUCAUGUUAGCUAAAAUAGUAACUGGGCUUUUAAGGACAGGAGUUUUGUUAAAAGUUGUUACAAUCUGCCAUUAAGUGAACUUUCUGCUCUCAUAAUCAUUUGGUCUAUAGUUACUCUUUCCAGUAAAGGAAAAAAAGUAAUUUUAUUUUUAUUUUUAUUUUAACAUCCUGGAACCCUCACUAAAGCAAAUUUCUAGGGUAAAAAGCAUUUAUAUGCAUUCUUGAUAUAAAGAAAAACUACACAACUAGAACUGAUAAAAACAAGGAACACAACCAAUUGAGAGCUAAACAGUUUACUGUUGUGAGGAAACAUUAUCAGAUAAGGACUUUAGAGGACUUGUUAUAAAUGUGCUAAGUAGUUUUUAAUUAGCUACUCCAGACAACAUCCUUGUGAAAUUAAGUGUUAUCCACUUGUAUGAAUAAAAACUAUUUAAAAAAACUAUUGCA